UACGGAGGAUCCAAGCGUUAUCCGGAUUUAUUGGGUUUAAAGGGUGCGUAGGCGGCCUAUUAAGUCAGGGGUGAAAGACGGUAGCUUAACUAUCGCAGUGCCUUUGAUACUGAUGGGCUUGAAUGUACUUGAGGUAGGCGGAAUGUGACAAGUAGCGGUGAAAUGCAUAGAUAUUGGGAAGAACACCGGUGGCGAAGGCGGCUCACUGGCUCGUAACUGACGCUCAUGCACGACAGCGUGGGGAUCAAACAGG
rnacentral:rRNA from 1 species